rnacentral:rRNA from 1 species
UACAGAGGUGGCAAGCGUUGUUCGGAAUUAUUGGGCGUAAAGCGCGCGCAGGCGGUCCUUUAAGUCUGAUGUGAAAGCCCACGGCUCAACCGUGGAGGGUCAUUGGAAACUGGGGGACUUGAGUGCAGAAGAGGAAAGCGGAAUUCCACGUGUAGCGGUGAAAUGCGUAGAGAUGUGGAGGAACACCAGUGGCGAAGGCGGCUUUCUGGUCUGUAACUGACGCUGAGGCGCGAAAGCGUGGGGAGCAAACAGG